AGUUCGUCUUGUUUCUUCAUUCUUGAGCCUUGUGAACAAAUUAUUCAUGAUCCAUACAGAAACUCUUAUGGGAACAAAAUCUAAGAUACACUCGAUUAAGAUGAUUAGUUUCAUGUAUGUGUGUUGUCAGCAACAUCAAAAUAUAAUUAAGGACAUGAUUGCACUUUCAACUACACGGUUGCAAGUUUCCGCCUCUUAUUUCAAACUCAUUGUUGCAACCACACUACAUCUUUCAGUAAGUAAAGUACACUUUCACCAUCAUCAAGUUCAUACGAAAAACAAUCUCAUCACUAUACAUAACAGGUUCAAAAGAUCCCGCUCUUCUUUGCCGUGCGAGAAGCUGAUCUUUGCAGCAUGGUUGGAGCAUACGUGGUUGGAGAAUACGUGAUCAAAGCUUCGAAUAGCAACCGGAACAGUGGCACAGGCUGUGCAUUCGGUUCCCCCGAACCGAUCGGAUCAGUGCUUCGGUCCUUUUACAGGUUGGGCUCUUAGAAAACGCUAACCGCUCGGGUAAUAGAAAAUCAACCGACCGACAGUUGGGUGCCCCGAAAGUUUGGUUCGGUGAUGGGUGCCCCGUGGCGAAAACCGAAUAUGUUUGAUGCAGGGCUUCCGGUUGAUGGAAGAAAGAGAGUUAGAAGACAGAAAAACUGAGGGAUGGAAUGAAGGAAGAACGCAAAAUCAAAUCUUCCUAGAAGUACAAUUCCUGUGUAUGUACUAGUAGUACUCAACUUCUCGUAUAAAGGGAUGAACAAAGUAAACAACAAUUCUGAGUGGAUGGUAAAAGAGAUACACGGGAGAAGAUCCAAUCCAGUGGAACAAGAAGAUACGUACGAGUGGAGGGAAGAAAUAAGCCGCCCCGCACAGUCACGCUGCCUGCGAGGUGGCCAGGCUGCCGUCGUCUGCGGUAGGAGUAAGCAUGGCGGCUAGGUUAGGAUUGGGGAACUGGGAGUCCCCUCGGUGUGCCAUCCUUGUGGAAGUAGAAUCCUUUUCUGUGGAUCCAGCCUGUUGGGCCACUUUUCAUUCCUCGGCUUCAGGGCUCAUUCACGUUUUUAGCCUACAGUUUCGAUGUUUUCGGUCACUUCGGUGGAAACCGAUAUCACCGAAU
rnacentral:lncRNA from 1 species